AUUUAUUUGGCUUUUUAUUAAAGUACAAGGCUUAAUUGAUAAUUUUCAAAAUUAAUUAAAUUGAAUAAACCUAUCAAGUAAAACUAACUGUAUUAUUAUCGUUUACAUUUUCAUGGUUUCAUCAUAGGCUGAUUAUCCAACUCCGGAUGAAGAUUAAGGCACCUCACCUCCUCAAACGUGCUUCACUAUAGCUUGCCCAAAACAGAACUCCCUCCCUGUCUUUGAUUCUGGGUCUUCCUCAGCCUACUAUACUGUGGUGUCCUCUGAAGAGUAGUCAUUCACAAGGACUAUAUUUCCAGUGUUCUUCAUUGGAUAGGUUUCUCUCUGUUUCUGAGUCUCGUGUUAAGUCAUAUCUACCAAAAAAAAAUAUCAUAGUUUUUGUUGUAAAUUGCUGGGAAAGAUUCACCAAAGAGGAAAACCCCAUGUAACAUCUCAUCAUUUUUCAAUAGUUAGAGUUCCUUGAUUGAUACACAUCAUCUCCUUCUAAUCACAUACACUCUUUUCCCUUCACUGUCUCUUUGUAGAUGCAAUUAGGAUUCCAUAGGCCAUUUCUUGUCCCAGAAUGGAAGGAUCUUUUCUCUAC
rnacentral:lncRNA from 1 species